UGGGGAAUUUUGGACAAUGGGGGAAACCCUGAUCCAGCCAUCCCGCGUGUGCGAUGAAGGCCUUCGGGUUGUAAAGCACUUUUGGCAGGAAAGAAACGUCAUGGGUUAAUACCCCGUGAAACUGACGGUACCUGCAGAAUAAGCACCGGCUAACUACGUGCCAGCAGCCGCGGUAAUACGUAGGGUGCAAGCGUUAAUCGGAAUUACUGGGCGUAAAGCGUGCGCAGGCGGUUCGGAAAGAAAGAUGUGAAAUCCCAGAGCUCAACUUUGGAACUGCAUUUUUAACUACCGGGCUAGAGUGUGUCAGAGGGAGGUGGAAUUCCGCGUGUAGCAUUGAAAUGCGUAGAUAUGCGGAGGAACACCGAUGGCGAAGGCAGCCUCCUGGGAUAACACUGACGCUCAUGCACGAAAGCGUGGGGAGCAAACAGG
rnacentral:rRNA from 1 species